CUUUGCAACAGAUAACAUCCUUUACAAUGUGUCCAGUCUGCGAGUAGGUUGCAUUCGCCUUUAUGUCUCAGUGGUUAUUGCUGCAUUUCCGGUAACAGUUCGUCUUUACGGAGUAGAAGAUACCAAUUAUGUUGAGGUUGCUGUCAUGGUUAUUCAAGGAAUAUCGACAGUGCAAAAAACUGCUACAACCACCACAACAACAACUUCUAAAACAGUGUCUCCAACAACAACAGGGCCACCGACAACAACGGAGCCUCCGACAACAACAGAGCCCCCGACAACAACAGUUCCACCGACAACAACAGUUCCCCCGACAA